CCAGCAACUAGUGAUGUAUUUCAAAUUGAACGCCUGACAGCCAACAGGUGCUGGCCUCCAUUGGACCAGGUAAAUGAGGUCACAAGGGCUAUAUAAGUGAAGGACUGCCCAGGAGGAGGGGACAGCAGCCAUGAGGGAGACUCAGAGACAGAGAAGAGCUGCACCAUCUGAAACUUGCUCUCGCUCUCAAAACUCAUGAUCAAGGAACUGCCUGCCUCCAAAGGGAAUCUCCAACUGCCUCUGGAUGAUACUUGAUACUUUUAUGAACAAACACAAGAUUAACCUGUCCAAGCUGCACUGCUGUUACAGUGGCUGUGUUCACAUCCAGCUGAGCCACUGGAAGAUGGUCAGACCCACCAGCUGCACUGAUUUGAUCACGCAGUUCAAGCUCAUAAUGUUCAAGAGGUUCCAACCAGAAGAUAAAUAUCAUGGGAGGGUACAAGAAAUACAUUCUCCAGAACCAGCAGACGUACCAGAGCAGCAGAUAUUUUCUAAGGAAGGAAGAAUAAAAAAGUAACUUACUAUUA